AACCGCGGUUACACGAGAGGCCCAAGUUGAUAGGGCUCGGCGUAAAGGGUGGUUAAGGGUUACUAUAAAAUAAAGCCGAAGAUUCUCUAUGCUGUUAUACGCCCGAGAACUCGAAGCCCCCCCACGAAAGUGGCUUUACCCCGCCCCAACCCACGAAAGUCAGGGUA
rnacentral:rRNA from 1 species